rnacentral:rRNA from 1 species
AUUGAACGCUGGCGGCAGGCCUAACACAUGCAAGUCGAGCGAGCGGCGGACGGGUGAGUAAUGUCUGGGAAACUGCCUGAUGGAGGGGGAUAACUACUGGAAACGGUAGCUAAUACAGCAUACCAUCAGAUGUGCCCAGAUGGGUUGAGUUGGUUGGUGAGGUAACGGCUCACCUGGGCGACGAUCCCUAGCUGGUCUGAGAGGAUGACCAGCCACACUGGAACUGAGACACGGUCCAGACUCCUACGUGAGGCAGCAGUGGGGAAUAUUGCACAAUGGGCGCAAGCCUGAUGCAGCCAGGCCGCGUGUGUGAAGAAGGCCUUCUGGUUGUAAAGCACUUUCAGCGGGGAGGCGUUACCCGCAGAAGAAGCACCGGCUAACUCCGUGCCAGCAGCCGAGGUAAUUC